ACAAAAGUUCAAAGAAGAUCGCACAAGUGUUAUGAAAAAACAGCUGGACGCCCGUCCACAUCCACGAUGACAACAUUGAACGUGCUCAUGAACUUAUGCUCUAUGGAAUAGACGAGUGACAGUGGAUAAUGUGGCAAAUCAUUUGCAAAUCAGCCACGGCUCUGCUUAUGCAAUAGUACACGACAGAUUUGGAUUUUAAAAAGUUUGUGCGAGAUGGAUGCCGAAAAAGCUGAUGAAAAGGUGAAGACGACGAUGCAUUCGUGGUUCGCAGCUCAGCCCAAAACAUUUUUUAAUGAGAAAAUAUAAAGGUCCUUCGGCAAAUGGACAAAGUGUAUACAGAAAUCGAGUGAUUAUGUCAAAGAAUGAUGUAUGUCUUUUUUGACAAUUGCUUAAAAUAAAUUCUACACCGACAGAGCGGGCUGUUAAUCUAGAGGCUGGAGUACAAAGAAGUGGCACAAUGAUGUGGGCUGAUGACAUUUAUAAUUAUCAAGGAAUCACCCCUACAUUCGCUCAGAAUUUUAAUGAAACUGUCCCUUGGGAAGGAAGAACUGAUACCUUGAUAUCACGGUUUGUACAUCCUAUAUAUACGACAAAUUUUAGAACAUUAUAUAACGAAGAACCAGAUCGUCGUGGCCAUGUGAUGUGAAUAAAAGGACUUGAAUUUGAUGAU